rnacentral:rRNA from 1 species
GAUGAACGCUGGCGGCGUGCCUAAUACAUGCAAGUCGAGCGAACGGACGAGAAGCUUGCUUCUCUGAUGUUAGCGGCGGACGGGUGAGUAACACGUGGAUAACCUACCUAUAAGACUGGGAUAACUUCGGGAAACCGGAGCUAAUACCGUAUAAUAUCUUGAACCGCAUGGUUCAAAAGUGACAGACGGUCUUGCUGUCACUUAUAGAUGGAUCCGCGCUGCAUUAGCUAGUUGGUAAGGUAACGGCUUACCAAGGCAACGAUGCAUAGCCGACGUGAGAGGGGGAUGGGCCACACUGGAACUGAGACACGGUCCAGACUCCUAGGGGAGGCAGCAGUAGGGAAGCUUCCGCAAAGGGCGAAAGCCUGACGGAGCAACGCCGCGUUGGUGAUGAAGGUCUUCGGAUCGUAAAACUCUGUUAGUAGGGAAGAACAUAUGUGUAAGUAACUGUGCACAUCUUGACGGUACCUAAUCAGAAAGCCACGGCUAACUACGUG